UACGAAGGGUGCAAACGUUGCUCGGAAUUAUUGGGCGUAAAGCGCACGUAGGCGGCUUAGCAAGUCGGAUGUGAAAUCCCUCGGCUUAACCGGGGAACUGCGUCUGAUACUGGAUGGCUUGAGUUCGGGAGAGGGAUGCGGAAUUCCAGGUGUAGCGGUGAAAUGCGUAGAUAUCUGGAGGAACACCGGUGGCGAAGGCGGCAUCCUGGACCGACACUGACACUGAGGAGCGAAAGCCAGGGGAGCAAACGGG
rnacentral:rRNA from 1 species